rnacentral:misc_RNA from 1 species
UCAAAACUUGGCACAGAACUUGCUGCAGGACAAAGAACAGAAAGUGCAAAGAAUUUAUUAUGCUCAUAUCAAAUAUAAUCAAAAGAAAUUUACGGAUGCAACAAUCAACUCGGGAAAUGUUACAAGAAUAAUUGUUCUAGUAAAACGCUGAACCGAGGAACACCAAGGUAUUACAGAAAGUUGAGGCAGAAAAAAAUUUAUGUUUAGUGACCUCAAAAGAAGAGCAUGAGUGAUAGUAUUACUCUGUAAAAAGAUAUGAAAACAGCUCUUUUGUAAGGAUAGAAUGUAACUAGAUUGUUCAUCCCUUGUGACAAUUAGUGUCACUGCUCAUGUGAAAACUCCCUGGCAAAUAACAUGAUAUUAUCUUCCUUAAUAAAUGACCUCAUCAAUUAUAAACUUCAUGGAAUGUGUUUAAGACAUCAACUUCAUAUCUUAUUUUCUCCUACGAUCUUUAUCCUGGUUGCAAUAGUAGAUUACGUAAUGCAAGAGAAAAUUUCUUGUGAUACCUCUCUUUGCUCAUCGGACAUGAA